UACGUAGGGGGCAAGCGUUGUCCGGAAUCAUUGGGCGUAAAGCGCGCGUAGGCGGCUCGGAAAGUCGGUCGUGAAAUGCCGGGGCUCAACCCCGGGACUGCGUCCGAUACUCUCGAGCUGGAGGCAGGUAGGGGAGAUCGGAAUUCCUGGUGUAGCGGUGAAAUGCGCAGAUAUCAGGAGGAACACCGGUGGCGAAGGCGGCUUGCCAGAACGCGCUCGACGGUGAGGGAUGAAAGCUGGGGGAGCAAACCGG
rnacentral:rRNA from 1 species